UAAACAAAUAUUUUGCACAGGGACUGUCUUUUUUUUUUUUUUUUGCACAGGUACUUAAGUGAGCUGAAAAUAGCAUGGAUAUGUUUAUCGAGUUUUUUACUCUCAAAUAGCUGGUGUGGGAAAACAGAAACCUUGAGAGCAAGUGGACCAGCAGGACUAGCAGACAUUUAGAAAGGACCCAGAAGCACAGUUUGCAAGCCAGGAAAUGAGUGCAAACCUCUCCUUCUGCAGGUGACGCUUCAGACCAGGAGCUGGACCAGUCAGAGGCCUCUCUGUCCAGUUUCCCUUCAAGAGUAUCAGCAGCCCGUGCAGAGAGCUCAUCAAAUGCACUGACAGGAAGUGCCCAGUGGAGUUCUCUGUUUAUUUAGAAAUGUACUGGGGUCUUUGUUAGAUGUUGUUUUGGUUUGCAAGGUCAUCGUCACCCUUACCAUCAUGAAAUGUGCCCUGAAAAUACUCUCGUGCAGGACACUCUGCUGGCAACAGGGUCAGAAUUUGAAGAAGUAGUGUCGAUAUUUUCCCAGCUUCCCAGUGGCUGCUGAAAGCACCAGCCAAAUUUUUGAAGCACCGAGAGGACGGCCG
rnacentral:lncRNA from 1 species